CGCGCCUGUUUUUACAAAAACAUCGCCUCUUGAUAAAGUAAAAUUAUAGGAGGUCCAGCCUGCCCGGUGAGUCAAUUUAACGGCCGCGGUAUCCUGACCGUGCGAAGGUAGCAUAAUCACUUGUUCUUUAAAUAAGGACUAGAAUCAACGGCAUCACGAGGGUCUUACUGUCUCCCCUCCCCAAUCAGUGAAACUGAUCUCUCCGUGAAGAAGCGGGGAUGAACAUAUAAGACGAGAAGACCCCAUGGAGCUUCAAGCUCAACAUAUACUCUUUUUAACCAACCUCAUAAUCUUAAGAACCUACUUGUUAGCUUUGGGUUGGGGUGACCGCGGAGAAAAAACUAACCUCCACAAUGAAAAGAAUAAAAUCCUAAUCUAAGAGCCACACCUCUAAGAAUCAACAAAUUGACAUAAAAUGACCCGACAUUUCGAUCAAUGGACCAAGUUACCCUGGGGAUAACAGCGCCAUCCACUUCAAGAGCCCCUAUCGACGAGUGGGUUUACGACCUCGAUGUUGGAUCAGGGUGUCCCAGUGGUGCAGCCGCUACUAAAGGUUCGUUUGUUCAACGAUUAAAACCCUACGUGAUCUGAUUUCAA
rnacentral:rRNA from 1 species